rnacentral:pre_miRNA from 9 species
GAAGGCCAUUGUCAACUCAAAACCCUUCACUCUGGUUUUCCUGGGAAGCCUUUGGAGGGUUUGAGCAGAGCAGUGACUUGAUUGAUUU